CUAGAAUUCCUCUCUCUUUUCUUUUUUACUUCCUCCACCUUCACUUCAUCACUCUUAUUUUUUUCAACUUCCACACUUUCUUUAUUUUCUACUUCACCAUUUUUUUCAUUCUUUUCAACUUCUUCCUCACUCCACUCCCCAACUUCAACAUCAAUGAUAUCCUCUAUUUUUUUUCUCCUCAUCUCUUUUUUCACUCUCACUAAUCAACUCCCUUCCACUUCUCGUCGUUAUUGCUUUACAAUGCUCUUUUGGAUUCGUUUGCGUGUUCGCCGAAAAAG
rnacentral:lncRNA from 1 species